rnacentral:rRNA from 1 species
GAUGAACGCUGGCGGCGUGCCUAAUACAUGCAAGUCGAGCGAACAUACGAUGAGCUUGCUCCUCUGACGUUAGCGGCGUACGGGUGAGUAACACGUGUAUAACCUACCUAUAAGACUUUGAUAACUUCGUGAACCCGCAUCUAAUACCGGAUAAUAUAUUGCACCGCAUGGUUCAAUAGUUAAUGACGCUUUUGCUGUCACUUAUAGAUGGAUCCGCGCCGCAUUAGCUAGUUGGUAAUGUAACGGCUUACCAAGGCAACGAUGCGUAGCCGACCUGAGAGGGGGAUGAGCCACACUGGAAAUGAGACACGGUCAAGAAUCAUAAGGGAGGCAGCAGUAGGGAAUAUAACGCAAUGGGCGAAAGACGGACGGAGAAAAACCGCGUGAGUGAGGAAGGUCUUCGGAUCGUAAAACUCUGUUAUUAGGGAAGAACAAAUGUGUAAGAAACGAUGCACGUCUUGAAGGUACAUAAGCAGAAAGAAACGGAUAACUACGUG